rnacentral:rRNA from 1 species
AUUGAACGCUGGCGGCAUGCCCAACACAUGCAAGUCGCACGCGAAAGGGGGCAACCCUGAGUAGAGUGGCGGACGGGGGAGUAACGCGUAGGAAUCUACCUGGUAGUGGGGGACAACCCGGUGAAAACCGGGCUAAUAACGCAUACGAUCACCGGAUGAAAGCUGGGGACCGCAAGGCCUUGCGAUCUCCGAUGCGCCUGCGUCGGAUUAGCUAGUUGGGGGGGUAAAGGCCCACAAAGGCGACGAUCCGUAGCUGGUUUGAGAGAACGACAAGCCACACUGGGACUGAGACACGGCCCAGACUCCUACGGGAGGCAGCAGUGGGGAAUAUUGGACAAUGGGGGCAACCCUGAUCCAGCAAUGCCGCGUGUGUGAAGAAGGCCUUCGGGUUGUAAAGCACUUUCGGUGGGGACAAACAAGGUGGAGCUAACAUCUCCGCCUCUGAUGGUACCCAAAGAAGAAGCACCGGCUAACUCUGUGCCAGCCGCCGCCGUAA